rnacentral:rRNA from 1 species
ACACUCCUACGGGAGGCAGCAGUGGGGAAUUUUGGACAAUGGGCGAAAGCCUGAUCCAGCAAUGCCGCGUGAGUGAAGAAGGCCUUCGGGUUGUAAAGCUCUUUUGUCAGGGAAGAAACGGUGAAAGCUAAUAUCUUUUGCUAAUGACGGUACCUGAAGAAUAAGCACCGGCUAACUACGUGCCAGCAGCCGCGGUAAUACGUAGGGUGCAAGCGUUAAUCGGAAUUACUGGGCGUAAAGCGUGCGCAGGCGGUUUUGUAAGUCUGAUGUGAAAUCCCCGGGCUCAACCUGGGAAUUGCAUUGGGGCCUGCAAGGCUAGAAUCUGGCAGAGGGGGGUAGAAUUCCACGUGUAGCAGUGAAAUGCGUAGAUAUGUGGAGGAACACCGAUGGCGAAGGCAGCCCCCUGGGUCAAGAUUGACGCUCAUGCACGAAAGCGUGGGGAGCAAACAGGAUUAGAAACCCUGGUAGUCCCAUGAU